UUUCUAUUUGUCCUCUUUCUUUUUUAAAAACAAACAGAGAAGGCUCCCUCCCCUCUCUCAAAUCCGGCCAAGGUCCGGCUUAGAUCGCCGGUGCGCCUCCGCAGUAGCACCGCCAUAGGCGGCGGCCGGAGGUGCAAAACUGGAUCUUUUUUAGUCCAUUUUGAAGCUAAACGUCCCUAGGACACGGAUCCAUGGCGGAACUUCGAGAAAGAUGAGCCUAAGGCCCGAAAACGAGGGGGAAACCGUUCGCCUCCUCCUCCUCCGGCGCGGCGCAGGUAAGGUUUUUCUCUUCCUUCUCUUUUUAUUCCCGUUUAAAAAAAGAAAAUAGAAUAACAAAGAAAAUAAAAAUAACAAAAAACGAAAUCCAAAACAAAACUCUGAAGAAAAUCACCUUGAAAUUUAGUUUUUAUAUUUCUCUACUAAUGUUUUUUUUGUGUUACAAAAAUCGCUCCCCCCUAAAUACAAAGUAAUGUUUGGCUUUUAUAGCCUAUCUAUUUCUAUAUUUCUUUGCUGUCAUUUUUGCUGCUAUUUGCGUGUUUGUUCCUUUUUGCAGGGUGAUGGAUGAGGGCAAAGCAGGUGGCUGAGGUGACCAGGGAGCAGGUGGCCGUGACUUGCGGCGCUGGAGGCUAAAGACCUAGGUGCGGCGCACCUAGGGUUUUCCCUUAGCUGAAAAUUGGCCUGAUUUUUUGGGCCAUUUGGGCUUAGGGUUAAAUUUGUUUGGGUUGUGUUGUAUUGGGUUUGGAUUAUUAGGUUUGGGCCAUUGUAAGGGUUAUUUGGGCCCCGGGCAAAUUUGGGCUUGUACAUUACUUUUUCGGUUAAACCGAAAAAAUUCGGUUAACCGACCAGUUUCGAACCGAAUUAACCGUUAACCGAAAAAUCAAAAAAUAAUUAACCGACCCCCGACCGAAAAAAUUCGGUUAACCGACCGAUUAACCGAAUUUGGUCGGUUAACCGAAUUUUUUCGGUUUUACCCGAAUUUUGUACACCUUAAAAGAUAAGUUUAGUUCUAUGGAUAAUGAUGAGAUUGUGAGUUCACAGAACCUGUCUUCUACUCUGAGGAAACUGUGUAUGUAGGAAAAGAAGCUCUAUGAUGAAGUCAAGGAUUGAGUAGGAAAUGGAUGGAGAAUAAUGUUGAGUUUCGAGAAUACAACGUUCAAUUGGAGGAGGAAUGUGCAGAGAGAGCAAGGGAGAUGAUUGAAAUCAUGGAUUAUAAAGAGCCAGGGCCUAAUACUAACCCCAGAACUAGUUCUGUUUUACUUGGUUCAGCAACCUUAGUUCUGUAAUAAAGAGCCAGGGCCCUCCUCCCCAACCACAACCUUAGUUCUGUUUUACUUGGUUCAGCAAACUAUUAAGAUGGUUUUACAACUUAGGAUUAGGCUAUGUAUGUAUUGUAAAAUCUAUGGAUUUCCGCUUUCUAUGUUACAUGAAAAUGACACCUUGGUCUUUUUAUUACAGUUAAUAUUAUGUAUGUGUGCAUGUUGAGUACUUGAUUGCAAGGGAAUAUCAGUUUCAAGAA